rnacentral:rRNA from 1 species
CAUCCUCCAAGGCUAAAUACUCCUGACUGACCGAUAGUGAACCAGUACCGUGAGGGAAAGGCGAAAAGAACCCCGGCGAGGGGAGUGAAAAAGAACCUGAAACCGUGUACGUACAAGCAGUGGGAGCACCCUUUGGGGUGUGACUGCGUACCUUUUGUAUAAUGGGUCAGCGACUUAUAUUCUGUAGCAAGGUUAACCGAAUAGGGGAGCCGGAGGGAAACCGAGUCUUAAUUGGGCGUUAAGUUGCAGGGUAUAGACCCGAAACCCGGUGAUCUAGCCAUGGGCAGGUUGAAGGUUGGGUAACACUAACUGGAGGACCGAACCGAC